rnacentral:misc_RNA from 1 species
GUCGAAUCUUGCACAUUCUCUCUACUUCCCUUGCUUUAGCGAGAAAAAAAAGAGAAUUUACUCGGCUUCCACUACGUAAUGGACACCUUGAAAAGAGCAGCCCUGUUGUGCAUGAUCGUGGCUCUAGUAUUGGGCCUUUGCUUGAGCAUGGUAGAAGCAAAGAGAGGGCAGCUCAACUUAUGUGCAGGAUUCGACCCUCCAGGAGGAUGCCCUAUCAGGUGCAUUCGCUAUGAUCCAGUAUGUGGUGCUAACGGGGUGACCUAUGGGUGCGGCUGUCCCGACGCUGCCUGCGCCGGCGUUCGAGUUGUUAAGUUAGGGGCUUGUUAGGUCCCAUCUCCCUGCUGGUGCGACAACACUUGUUUUGGUUUUUAUCUGGAUAUAUUAACCAAAAUAAUUAUUUAUAUGUUAAUAUAUGACAUAAGAUGUACAUAUCCAGAUAAAAAC